rnacentral:lncRNA from 1 species
UUUAUUAUUAUUUUUUAUAUAUUUUUAUUACAAACUCUCAAAUAAUAUCUGAUGUUUUAUUAUUCAACUUGUAGUUCUUCUUUGAAAAAAAAUUAUUCUGUCAAAAUUUUCUCUCUUUUGUUCUAUUUUUUCUCUUAAGAAGAAAUUUUUUUUGCGUACUUACCAACAAAUUUUGAAUGGUUGAUUUUGUGCUUAUAGGGGAAAACAGAAGGAUUCACCAAAUUAAAAAAUCAUGUGAAUUUUUUUACGAAAAAGAAAGAAACAGGUAAUCAAGGAAGCAAAGACAGCCCUACUUGGCCCCCUCUGGUGGUUUUUGGAUGGCGUUUGAUAGAUGGUUGUCCAUGGUAUUGACAUUUAAAAGCUUCUUUCUCUUUUUUUUUAAUUUAUUAAUUUUUUUUUAUCUAUUUAUAUUAUAAACUUUAAAAUAAUAUUUGAUUUUUUACGAUUGAUCUCGUAGUUCUAUUUUUUAAAAAAUUAUAGUGGAAUCGUCCAAUGGAGGUAAGAUCUAUUAAAUGUCUUGAUUUCUCAUGUUUUGUAGAUGCUGUUUUGAUAAAAGGAAAAUAAUUUAACAGUGAGGAUUUCUCCAAAUUUGAUGCUCCAGAUUUAAUUUGGGUUGUUAUAAAUAGGAAAGAAAAAAAGGGGAAAAAAAAGAGAGGAAAGAAAGGGAGAAACUCGAAGAGAGAGAGAGGCCAUUUGCGGAAGGAGAGAAUUGCAGAGAGGAAGAGAAGGAGAGGGAGAAACAACAUCACGAAACCAGGCUGAUGGAAGAAGAAAUAGGAGGGUGAUUUCUGUGAAGGCUAGGCAGGAAUUAUAGUGGAAUCGUCCAAUGGAGGUAAGAUCUAUUAAAUGUCUUGAUUUCUCAUGUUUUGUAGAACUAAUGAUGAGUGAAAGGGAUAGGAAAACGAGUGGUGUAAAAACCUUGAGAGAUUUAAAGAUUUUAGGUGAUCUGGAGUGUUACACCGAUUGGAUAUAACAAGUUACCGGUUCAGUGUUGAUCUGAAGCGUAGUGGUGAAUAGACCCGGCAAACGAAGUAGAAAAUAAAAAAUAAAAAAUAAAAAAAAGGGAGGGGGGACUAGGUGGACUUUGGAUGUGAAUGCAGAGGGAUUUUAUAUUAUUCCACAAUUGAAUGGUGGAAUAAUAUAAUGCAGAAAUGUGAGACUUCAAGAAUGGUGGAUGUGUGGAAUGGGCAUGAGGUGAUAAAAAUCAAAUUGGGGGCUAGAUGAUGAUACUUCAGAGGGACUGGUGAGAUGAGGUAGAGAGGGAGUUCAGGUUAUUGAGAGAAGUGGUAUAGUACUCUGGAUCAAUAGAAAAGGUGCAGAUGCAGCAAGGUGUGUGUAGGGAGUGAGCAGGCGAGAGGAGGGCAGAAGGCUGAGAGCAGAAGUAAGCUAGUAUGGGUGCAGAAAAAAAAAUGAAAACAGAGAAAAGAAAGGGUGACCGGAGCAGGAGAAGGAGUUUAUUAAAUUUAGCAGAGAAUUGCUUACAACCUGAGAGGAGAAAAUUUGGAAAAGGAAGAACAAUAAGAAUUAAAUAAAUAAAUAAAUAAAAUACCAAGGAGGACAUUUUGAGUGGGAGAACCCUUCCGCUUGAACUGGCAACGGGUGAAAAAGAAUGAGAAUGGAAGUAUGAGCAGUACUGUCAGAAAACAUAAAAGAAAAGAAUAAUAGAGGAAAAACUGGAACAUGCUGUGAGCGGGCAGAUGAUGACCGAGAGACACCUUUUGAGAAUUUUAAAUAUUGGGGUCUGUGAAUGCUGAACAGAGAUGAAAUGGCAUGUGAUGAUUUUUGGUGCAUAGUAUGAGUGAGUGUGUGGCCAGGUUGGGGCCGAGUGGGGUAUAACAACAUAUAUAUGUAUAGCAAAAUUGUUGAAUAAAUAUAUAACCUGGCAUGUGAUAAAUUCUGCUGCGCGGUAGGUAUCAGCAAGAGGCCAGGCUUGGCUGAGGUGACCUGUUGGGGUUUCCAUAUAUAUAUAUAUAAUUAUAUAUAACGAAAUGGCUGAGUAAAUGCAUAAUUUUGCAUGUGAUAAUUUUUGUUGCACAGUAUGUGCGAGUGUGUGGCCGUGUUUGGCCGAGAGGCAUCUGUCCGUAUGUACGAGUGUGUGGCCGAGAGACAUCUGUUGGGGUGUAUAUUUCUAUUGCACAGUAUGUGUGAGUGUGUGGCCUUGUUUGGCCGAGAGGCAACUGUCAGUUUGUGCAGGUGUGCGGUCGUGUUUGGCCAAGAGACAUUUGUUGGGGUGUAUAUAUAAUUAUACACAGCGGAAUGCUUUAUGAAUGCUAAGUGAACAUAAAAUCUACAUGUAAAUCUCCUGUGCAGAGUGUGUGAAUGUGUGUGGCAGAAUGUGAAGUUGUGGAUUGAACUCCAUUUGGAUGGUGACCUCUAUAUGAUGGUUUUUUUUGAAGUAAAAAUAUAUUAGUAUAUUAACACAGUACCAAAACAGGGGUACCAACCCAUUUACAAAAGAAUUACAGAUUAGUAAGCAUAUCAAUGCCAAUCCCAAAAUCCUCCUCAUUCAUCAUAUCAUGCUCUAACAAGUUUGUCCCAAAAUAAUUAAAACAUCUAUCUCUUAAUUUAUAUAAUCUUGCUUCUUUCCUCUCAAAUGCUUCAGCAUUUCUUUCUUUCCAAAUUACCCAAAAAACGGUCAAUGGAACCAAAGUAGGAACACUUCCGUUGAUCUUAAGUCCCACCCAAACCCAAAUUUCAUCCCUACCACUCCCAGCCACAACUCAAUUAAUCCCCAGCAGCCCAUAAAUUAUGCACCACACACUAUAUGUCACGGGGCACACAUACGAAGGUAGCAUCUAUUAACAAUAAACUGCCCCCUCUUCUUUAAUUUGUCCAUAGUGAGAAUACUUUCCCUGCUUGCUUCCCACGCAAAAAAAGCCAAUCUAGGAGGGACUUUUCUAUUCUAAAUUUGUUUAAAAGGGAAAGUCCCAACUGUCAUCCCCAUCCCCACCAAUCAGCAUUCUGUAGUAUGAAUGGAUAGAAAAAGUUCCCUUUUUUUCUAACUUCCAUGAGACCUGAUCCGAGCCCUCUUUCACAUUCUGCUUCUCCAAAAGCAUAAAGAGUUCUUCAAACUCUUGCAUUUUCCAGUCAUUUAAGUUCCUAUUCACUCUGACAGACCAUACGACACAAUCAUUGUAAAUCCGGUAAGCAUCAGCCACCAACAUCGAUUUCGAAUGGGCAAUCUCAAAAAUGCUGAGAAACCUGUUCUGCAGACUGACAUCACUAACCCAUUUGUCAUGCUAGAAACUAAUUUUAUUCCCUUCCCCCAGGUUCCAUUUAAUACAGCUGUAGAACCUCGGCCAUUGUUUCAUUAUAUUCUUCCACAAGCCUCGUCCAUGAGGUCUAGAGCUGGCCCCAAUCACAUACCGCAUUCAGAUCACCCCAGCGGACAAGCACAAUUUUUCUACAUAGCUUGUAAUCUUCAUUCAAGAACUUCCAUAACCUUUUUCCUUGAAGAGCCAAAUUUAUGUUGACAAGAGAUCUAAUCCCCAAACCACCACUAUGAAUCGAUUUUUUAACUUCCUCCGAAUUAACCAAAUGGUACUUCCUUUUUCCCUGUGAUUUCCCUGUUGUGCAGUAUAUGGGUGUGUGUGCAUAACAUUGAUUACUUUUGAAUUGGAGCCAUCAUAAGCUUCGGGAAGGUCAAGGAAAGUGAGGAAUUAGGGAGGUGUAGGUUGGAAGGAUACAGAUUUGAUAUGUGAUGAGUUAGGUUGUAGUUAUGACUUUAAGUCGCAAGAGGGAGCCGAAUAGGUAAGAUACAGGAGUGGUGAGCAGAGAAGUGUUGGGCAGAAUUUCAGGUGUCUACCAGGACUAGAGAGAAGGAUAUAAUUAACGGGCUAAUCGCACCGGUUUCAAUUCUGUUGGUUAAAUUUUUAAAUUGAUCUUACUGGGCUGUGUAAGCUCAUUAUUUUAUUAUCUUACAGAGCAGAUGAAGCAGGAAUAGAUACAAGUGCUUCCAGAGCCAGAGUAUAACCUGUAGAGAGUGCAAAACUGAUUAUAAGACCUGCUAACUUUUAUUCAGUAUAUUCUCACUUUUGGAAUUGGUAUGUAUGUAAGUUAUGAUUGAAUUGUGUUAGAACUAACUGAGAGGAUGACAAUUAUGACAGAUUUGUAAAUGUUAUUACUUAUUUUGUUAUAGACGAAUUAAGGGUAACAACCUUAUUCACUCGUGAAAAUCUGGGUUGUUACAUCAACAAUUGUUGAAUGAUUGCUUUUGUGUUUGUAGUAGAAAACAGAAUGAUUCACAGAAAUAAAAAAUACAGGGAUGAAUUUUUUGCUGAAAAGGGAAGGAACAGGUAAUCAAUUAAGCAAAGGCAGACCGACUUUGACCCCCUCUUGUUGUUUUUGGAUGGUGUUUGAUAGGUGUCGUCCAUGGUUUACAUUUAAAAGCUUCCUUUUUUUUUAAUUUAUUAAUUUUUUUUAUCAAUUUUUUUUUACAAACUUUUAAAUAAUACCUGAUUUUUUAUUAUUGAUUUUGUAGUUCUUUUUAAAAAAAAAUAAAAAUUAUUAUUCUGUCAAAUUUUCUCUCUUUUUUUCUAUUUUUUGUUCCUUAAGAAGAAUUUUUUUUUUGGUACUUAUUAACAAUUGUUGAAUGGUUGAUUUUAUUUUUUAUCGGAAAAAACGAAAGGAUUCACCAAAAUUAAAAAUAGAGGGAUGAAUUUUUUGAUGAAAAGGAAAAACAGGUAGUCGAGGAAGCAAAGGCAUCCCGACUUGACCUCCUCUGGUGGUUUUUGGAUGACGUUUGAUAGAUGGUCAUUCAUGGUAUUUACAUUUAAAAGCUUCCUUCCUUUUUAAAAAAAAAUUUAUUAAUUUUUCUUUAUCAAUUUAUAUUAUAAACUUUAAAAUAAUAUUUGAUUUGUUAUUAUUGAUGUUGUAGUUUUUUCUUAAAAAAAUUAUUGUUCAGUGAAAAUUUUUCUUUUAAAUGAUAUUUUUGUUAAAAAUAUAAAUAUAAACAGUUUUUUUAUUUCUCAUAUUCAUUCUAUUCAUAUUUAAUUUUUAAAUAUCAAAUUUUUUAUCAAGCAUAGGUGGCGUCACAAAAAUGUACCUCAGCUCAUCUAUGAAAGCGCAAGACUUUUAAAAGCUUCUACUUCUCUCUUACUCUCUCCACUUCUUUCUUCCACUGAUUACAUAUACCUGAAUAGGUUAUUUCAAAGUUUUUCAUUUUGCUUAUGUUCAAUUUUUUUAAAUCUAGUUAAUUCAAUUUAUGACUUUAAUUUGGAUUAAGAUCACUGGUUUUGAUAUUUCAAGUGAUUUAUUUGUGAAUGGAAAGUUGUUAUUAAUUGUAAAAAUGUCCCGGAGAUUUCUAUUCAGAGAUGCCAUUGUUUGGUGGUACAAUUUCUACUACCUUCCCUUUUAGGUUUCAGGUUAGGUUAAGAUUUUGCUUCCAAAAUAUUUGUAUAGUUUAGAUAUUAUGCUUUUGUUUUCUUUCUUGCAUCCAUGUUGAUUGAUAUGGUUAAAUUCCGUUGAUUGAUUCGUUGGUAUCUUGAUUGUAGGAUGUGAGCAACAUUCGGUAAGUUUCUGAUCAUGUCGCUCCUGGUUUAUUAUCUUCAUCUUUCUUGUGUUGUAUUUUCUGACCCUCAAGAAAAAAAUUUCUUUUUGGGUACUCAUCAACAAUUGAUGGAUUACUGGUUUUUUUUUUUGGUGGGUUUUAGGCCUAUUCAUGGACCCUGCACGUGAUGAAAGCUUGAUUUUUUGAGCUUUUUUUAUCUUAGGCAUGAUGUUGGAGAUGAUGGAAGUUCCACUUGGUUUCUUCAGGAACUUGCCACUGAGCAAGGUGGUGAAGAAUAGAGGGUAACAUUUAAAUUCCAAGAACGAGGACAUCAUGUUUUAGAAUGCAGACCAGUGUGACUUAUCAACAAUUGUUUAAUGGUUGAUUUUGUGCUUAUGGGGAUAAAACAGAAGGAUUUGCCAAAAUGAAAAAUAGGGUGAUGAAUUUUUUGAUGAAAAAGAAAGACACAGGUAAUGAAGGAAGCAAAGGCAGAACGAGUUGAUCCCCUCUUGUGGUUUUUGGAUGGCGUUUGAUAGAUGAUUAUACACAGUAUUUACAUUUAAAAGCUUCCUUCUUUUUUUCUAAUUUAUUAAAUUUUUUUAUCAAUUUUUAUCAUAAAUUUUCAAAUAAUAUCUGAUUUUUUAUUAUUAAUCUCGUAGUCCCUUUUUUUUUUAAAAAAUAUAUAUUAUUCUGUCAAAUUUUUUAUCUCUCUUAUGUUCUAUUUUUUCUCCCUUACGAAGAAAUCUUUUUUUGGGUACAUAUCCAUGGUUUAACAUUGUUGAAUAAUAUCUGAUUUUGGGUACAUUUCAGCUUAUUAAUUUCUUUUAUCAAUUUCUUUUUAAAAUUUUUAAAUAAUAUCUGAUUUUUUAUUAUUGACUUCGUAGUUUUUUUUUUAAAAAAACAAAAAUUAUUAUUUUGUCAAAUUUUUUCUCUAUUUUCUGACUCUUAAGAAGAAAUUUUUUUUGAGUACUUAUCAACAAUUGUUGAAUGGUUGAUUUUAUUUUUAUGGAGGAAAACUGAAGGAUUCACCAAAAUUAAAAAUAGGAAGAUGAAUUUUUUGAUGAGAAGGAAAGAAACAGGUAGUCGAGGAAGCAAAGGCAGCUCGACUUGACCUCCCUCUGGUGGCUUUUGCAUGACGUUUGAUAGAUGGUCAUCCAUGGUAUUUACAUUUAAUAGAUUCCUUUGUUUUGUUUUUACAUUUAUUAAUUUUUCUUUAUCAAUUUGUGUUAUAAAUUUUUAAAUAAUAUUUGAUUUCAUUAUUAAUGUCGUAGUUGUUUUUUCAAAAGAUUAUUAUUCAGUGAAAAUUUUAUUUUUAAAUGAUAUUCUUGUUAAAAGUAUAAAUAUAAACAGCUUUUUUUUNNNNNNNNNNNNNNNNNNNNNNNNNNNNNNNNNNNNNNNNNNNNNNNNNNNNNNNNNNNNNNNNNNNNNNNNNNNNNNNNNNNNNNNNNNNNNNNNNNNNNNNNNNNNNNNNNNNNNNNNNNNNNNNNNNNNNNNNNNNNNNNNNNNNNNNNNNNNNNNNNNNNNNNNNNNNNNNNNNNNNNNNNNNNNNNNNNNNNNNNNNNNNNNNNNNNNNNNNNNNNNNNNNNNNNNNNNNNNNNNNNNNNNNNNNNNNNNNNNNNNNNNNNNNNNNNNNNNNNNNNNNNNNNNNNNNNNNNNNNNNNNNNNNNNNNNNNNNNNNNNNNNNNNNNNNNNNNNNNNNNNNNNNNNNNNNNNNNNNNNNNNNNNNNNNNNNNNNNNNNNNNNNNNNNNNNNNNGAUGAAAGCUUGAUCUUUUGAGCUAUUUAGAUCUCUGGCAUGAUGUUGGGGAUAAUGGAAUUGCCACCUGGUUUUUUCAAGACUGAGCAAGGUGCUGAAGAAUGCAGGGUAACAUGCUUUAGAAUGCAGACCAGUGUGACUUAUUUUAUAUUCUAGUACUAGGCCACACGAUUAGAAUACUUUCUCGUAUUGUUUAUCACUUAUUUUAAUUCUCUUUCUUUUUCUGAUAUAUGCUCUAUGUAUGCACAAAGAAAGGGUAGAAUUGUUAGAUGUGUUGUUCUGAUAUUUCCUCUUGUCUUUGGUUGAUUUUUUCUUACUGUUUACUUUAACCGGCUGUUUCCAAAGGAAGGCAAGACAGAGAAGCACAAAAUCUUUUGACGGUAUCUGUUUAUGCUUUCUUCUUUAUCACCAAGUUGUUUUGAAUUGUUUAAAAAAACAAGUUAACUAAUUUUGCAGGUUUAUUUGGUAAAUCUACAACAGAAAGCGGUUGGUACAUAUGUUUUAAUAGUUGCUCGCAAGCAAAUCUUGAUAAAGUAAGUAGUGCUCUGAAGUCAUUUUGUGACAUUAGUUUGUCUUUUACAACAAAAAAAAUCGUGUUUGCAUAUUUUAGAGUUAGGUAACGUUUUAAAUAUUUUAAAUAAAAUAUGUUAGUACACGUGAAAACUUUUUAAGUAAUUUUUAACAAUUUAGGUGAUAAUUAUGUGUUCAAAAUUUAUUUAGUUUGACAUAUACAAGAGAAAAGAGAAGGACAAAAAUUAAAAAUAGGGAAUUGGAUUUUCUGGUGGUUAUUGGAUGGCGUUUGAUAGAUGAUCAUUCAUGGUAUUUACAUUUAAAAGCUGCCUUCCAUUUUUUUCAUUAAUUAAUUUUUUUUUAUAAAUUUUUAUUGCAAACUUUCAAAUAAUAUCUGAAUGUUUGGUUCAAGUUUGUGCUAUAGCAGAAUCUUUUGAUGUGUAUGAAUCUCGGGUUCAAUUGUUCUCUGAUUUUCCGUCUCUGACAGUUUUCUUUUCUCUCCUCUUUGGUUUAUUUUUUCUCAUCAUUUACUUUAACAGGUCGUUUCCAAAUGAAGGCAAGACAGAGAAGCACAAAAUCUUUCGACAGUAUCUGUUUAUGCUUUCUUCAUCACCAAGUUGUUUUGAAUUGUUAAAAAAAACUUAUUAUUUAAACUUGCAGGUUUAUUUGGCAAAUCUACGGCUGAAAGCAGUCAGUACGAAUGUUUUAAUAGCUACCUACAAGCCAAUCUUGAUAAAGUAAGUAGUACUCGGAAGUCACUUUGUGGCAUUAGUUUGUCUUGAACCUCAAAAAAAAAAUCAUGUUUGCAUAUUUUGGAAUUAGAUAACGUUUUAAAUAUUUUAAAUAAAAUAUCUUAAUACACAUGAAAAUUUAUUAAGUAGUUUUUAAGAGUAUAAUUUAGGUGAUAAUUAUGUGUUCAAAAUUUAUUUAGUUUAUUAUAUAUUGGGAAAAACAGAAAUAUUCACAAAAAUUAAAAAUAGGGAAUUGGAUUUUUUGACAAAAAGAAAGAAACAAGUAAUCAAGGAAGCAAAGGCAGCCCGAAUUGACCCUCCACUGAUGGUUUUUGGAUGGCGUUUGAUAGAUGAUCGUCCAUGGUAUUUACAUUUAAAAGCUUCUUUCCUUUUUUUUAUUUUAUUAUUUUUUUUAUCAAUUUUUAUUACAAACUUUCAAAUAAUAUAUGAAUGUUUGGUUCAAGUUUGUGCUAUAGCAGGAUCCUUAGAUGUGUAUGAAUCUCAGGUUCAAUUGUUCUCCAAUUUCUCUUCUCUGACAAUUUUUUCUUUGUCAAGGUGGCAAAAUAUCUCUCUUUCUGUGCCGAUGCUUGGUUAAUUUUCUGCUUUAGUUGUUUAGAUUCUGAACUGUCUUUCUGUUCUACUUUAAAAGCAGUUGAUUGCUAGCAAUUUUACCAAGUAGAAGAAUUUUGUCUUGACUGAUACUCUAGAGGAUCAUUUUGCUAAAUUUCAAGUUUUUGAAUUUCCCACGCCUGCAUCCCCCUCCCAUGCCUAUAUCUUUUCCUCUCCUCUUUGGUUGAUUUUUUCUUACCGUUUACUUCAACAGGCCGUUUCUAAGGGAUGACAAAGCAGAGAAUGACAAAAUAUUUUGACUGUAUCUAUUUAUGCUUUCUUCUUCAUCACUAAGUUUCUUUUUAAUUGUUAAAACAAAUUUAUUAACUAAUCUUGCAGGUUUAUUUGACAUAUGUACGACUAAAAGCAAUUGGUACAGAUGUUUAAUAGUUGCCCACAAGCCAAUCUUGAUAAAGUAAGUAGUACUCGAAAGUCAUUUCGUGGCAUUAGUUUGUCUUGAACCACACAAAAAAAUCAUGUUUGUAUAUUUUGGAAUUAGAGGUUUUAAAUAUUUUAAAUAAAAUAUGUUAAUAUACGUAAAAAAAUUUAAGUAGUUUUUAAUUGUAUAAUUUAUGUGAUAAUUAUGUGUUCAAAAUUUAUUUAGUUUAACAUAUACUGAAAAAAAUAGAAGGAUUCACAAAAAUUAAAAAUAGGAAAUUAGAUUUUUUUUAUGAUAAUAAAGAAACAGGUAAUCAAGGAAGUAAAGGCAGCCGGACUUGAUCCCUGCUGGUGAUUUUUGGAUGACAUCUCAUAGAUGAUUAUUAAUGGUAUUGACAUUUAAAAACUUUCUUUCUUUUUCUUUUUUAAUUUAUUUAUUUUUUUAUCGAUUUUUAUUGCAAACUUUCAAAAAAAUAAUUUAUUUUUUAUUAUUUACCUCGUAGUUAUUUUUUUAGAAAUGAAAAAUUAUG